CGUACCCACUACCCACCAUCUCCUUCCGCCUCUUUCUUCCUCCCUCUUCCAACUCUCGGCCCACCAUCUCUCCUUUCGUCUCCUCUUUCCUCCCUCUUCCAACUUUCUGUAUUUGUUUGAACCCUAUCGAAACUCCCUUUUUGAUCUAUGCUUUUACAAAGUCUGGGUUGCUAGAUUUGUUGUUCUUGUGUGAUUAGUAGAGGGUAAUUGUGUACUUGAUAAAGGAGUUAUGAUCUGAGGGGUGAUUGUAUUUUGGUUGGGGGUUACGGAUCUUGAUGGUUAUGUGUUGGUGUUAGUUUUGGAAGGAGGUUUCUCCUGAUCUGAGUUUCUUUUUCAGAUCUUUUGUGGAGCUUGCCUAAAUCUGGGUUUGGCUCUACUCAUCUCCGGUGGUUUUAUGGAUUCUGGAUUGGUCCAUGCCGAUCAGGGUUCAUGCUACACCUACUGCCUAUCAUGUUCAUGCUCUGAUUUGGG
rnacentral:lncRNA from 1 species